rnacentral:rRNA from 1 species
UACGUAGGGACCAAGCGUUGUCCGGAUUUAUUGGGCGUAAAGAGCUCGUAGGCGGCCCUCCACGUCGGAUGUGAAAGCUCAGGGCUCAACCCUGAGAUGCCAUUCGAUACGGGAAGGCUAGAGGUAGGUAGGGGAAAGUGGAAUUCCUGGUGUAGCGGUGAAAUGCGCAGAUAUCAGGAGGAACACCGAUGGCGAAGGCAGGUCUCUGGGCAUUAACUGACGCUGAGGAGCGAAAGCAUGGGGAGCGAACAGG